rnacentral:rRNA from 1 species
GAUGAACGCUAGCGACAGGCCUAACACAUGCAAGUCGAGGGGCAGCAUUAAAGUAGCUUGCUACUUUAGAUGGCGACCGGCGCACGGGUGAGUAACGCGUAUGCAACCUACCUAUUACAGGGGAAUAACCCGGAGAAAUUCGGACUAAUACCGCAUAAUACAAGAUCAUCGCAUGAUUUUUUGUAAAGAUUUAUUGGUAAUAGAUGGGCAUGCGUUCCAUUAGCCAGUUGGUGAGGUAACGGCUCACCAAAGCAACGAUGGAUAGGGGAACUGAGAGGUUUAUCCCCCANACUGGAACUGAGACACGGACCAGACUCCUACGGGAGGCAGCAGUGAGGAAUAUUGGUCAAUGGGGCAGAGCCUGAACCAGCCAAGUCGCGUGAAGGAAGACUGCCUUAUGGGUUGUAAACUUCUUUUAUAAAAGGAAUAAAAAGGUCUACGUGUAGACUAUUGCAUGUACUUUAUGAAUAAGCAUCGGCUAACUCCGUGCCAGCCGCCG